rnacentral:misc_RNA from 1 species
AAGUCAUAACAAGGUUUCCGUAGGUGAACCUGCGGAAGGAUCAUUAUAGAUAUGCCCUCGGGCUAACCAUAUAUCCUCAUACACCUGUGAACCGUCGGGGUCUCGGCCCUGCCUUUACAAUGCAUCGUGUCUUUGAACGUCAUGUCUUGAUAACCAUAUACAACUUUCAACAACGGAUCUCUUGGCUCUC